CCUUGCCUGGAGACUCAGCAAUGUCCCCAGACAUGCCUGGACUUGUGCUCCUCAAGCACAUCGGACUGAGGUUAUAAAACAGACACAGUGACCCACAUGGGGGGCCUUUUCUCCUGCCCCCACCUAUGCUGCAAACAACAGAGACACUGAGAAGAAGACUGAAGACUCCAACUGAGGAGACUGACCCAGAUUUAAGGGACAAAUCUGUAUAUUAAAGACUGCAAUAUCCAGUGGGGAGCAGCACUGACAGGGUCCAGUGCUCCAAAAGAAGACGCGGCACUCUCUCCUGCUGCCCUGCUAAUUCAGCACUUGCUCUCUGUAGCAUGCACAAAAGGCUGCUUCUCCCUUUAUCUGAGGGGAGGAAUUCCUGGGGCCUUGCCUGCAGCUGGCCUCCUCCAUAUAUGCAAGAAGCUCAGCAUGGAGUCACUUUUAACUACAAAACUGGAUGUUGGUUCAGUAGUUUCUCCCCCGACUCCACUGCUCUCAGGACUUUCUCAACGGUUCAUCUUUUUGUGUUUGAUGUGACAGAAAUUCAAGUUACAGUUAAAAGGGCACUUUGCACAGUUACAGUUGGGUUGGUACUAACUAAAUUAGAAAUCUCAAACGUCUAAAGGGUUUAUUAAGUAUUCAGCUGUGAUAGCUCACUGUAGACACCAACUCAGAAUACUGGUCGAUAAUAAUGAAGUGAAGACUUCCAUUUUAAAAAAAGCUAUUAAUUUUGAAUAGUGUUAAAUGCUGAACACUAACUUUUUGGAGUGAAGAUUGUUCUGCUUUAAGAAGUUAGCCUUGGGCAUGACAUAUCUCUUGAUUUACUGAAGCUCAAAUGUGCAACAAAGCUCCAAAAAUAUUGGACAAAAAAUUAUUCAUGCAAGAAACCUAAAAUUAUGUUGGUUUCAUUCCUUUAGUCCAAGUUACUUUCUAGAACUUUAGUUGUGAUUAUUUUUGAUGUAAAAUAAUUUUGAACUCUAAGUGAGGAGUGGUAAUAUUUGUAUGAUGUGUAGGUGAUGUGAGAGGCACAAGAGUGAUUGUGCAAUGUCAGGACACAGUCCUGCCAGAUGCUGUACAUCUUCCUCCUGAUGUUACUGGGAGUUGGUUUAGUGGGCGGGUGCUGGCCUGUGAUAUAUAGGAAGUUGGACUAGAUCUGGUGGUUUUAUCCUUAAUCUCUGACUUCGACUAUGACUUUGCAGGAUUAGCCCCUUAAUGCUUUUAGAAUAUUGGGGAGGCGGGGACGGGGGAAAGGUUAAAAAAGGAGGAAAAACUUGAAAGUGUAAAAGAUUUAUUGUGUACCCGCCAUGUACGUUUUUCUAGACAAAUCACUACAACACCAUUGUUAGUUCAGGUCUUCGACAACAAAAUAUCUAUAAAAUAUUAUUUACCAAAAA